GACGAACGCUGGCGGCGUGCUUAACACAUGCAAGUCGAACGGAAAGGCCCUGCUUUUGUGGGGUGCUCGAGUGGCGAACGGGUGAGUAACACGUGAGUAACCUGCCCUUGACUUUGGGAUAACUUCAGGAAACUGGGGCUAAUACCGGAUAGGAGCUCCUGCUGCAUGGUGGGGGUUGGAAAGAUUCGGCGGUUGGGGAUGGACUCGCGGCUUAUCAGCUUGUUGGUGGGGUAGUGGCUUACCAAGGCUUUGACGGGUAGCCGGCCUGAGAGGGUGACCGGCCACAUUGGGACUGAGAUACGGCCCAGACUCGUACGGGAGGCAGCAGUGGGGAAUAUUGCACAAUGGGCUGAAGCCUGAUGCAGCAGCGCCGCGUGCGGGAUGACGGCCUACGGGUUGUAAACCGCUUUCGCCUGUGACGAAGCGUGAGUGACGGUAAUGGGUAAAGAAGCACCGGCUAACUACGUG
rnacentral:rRNA from 1 species